CACCUACUCCCUCCGUUCGGAAUUACUUGUCACAAAAAUGGAUGUAUCUACAACUAAAAUACAUCUAGAUACAACCAUUUCUUAGACGAGUAAUUUCGAACUGAGGGAGUACCUG
rfam:Triticum aestivum genome assembly, contig: Triticum_aestivum_CS42_TGACv1_scaffold_160732_2DL